AGUGAACGCUGGCGGUAGGCCUAACACAUGCAAGUCGAACGGCAGCACAGUAAGAGCUUGCUCUUACGGGUGGCGAGUGGCGGACGGGUGAGGAAUACAUCGGAAUCUACUUUUUCGUGGGGAUAACGUAGGGAAACUUACGCUAAUACCGCAUACGACCUACGGGUGAAAGCAGGGGAUCUUCGGACCUUGCGCGAUUGAAUGAGCCGAUGUCGGAUUAGCUAGUUGGCGGGGUAAAGGCCCACCAAGGCGACGAUCCGUAGCUGGUCUGAGAGGAUGAUCAGCCACACUGGAACUGAGACACGGUCCAGACUCCUACGGGAGGCAGCAGUGGGGAAUAUUGGACAAUGGGCGCAAGCCUGAUCCAGCCAUACCGCGUGGGUGAAGAAGGCCUCCGGGUUGUAAAGCCCUUUUGUUGGGAAAGAAAAGCAGCAGGUUAAUACCCCGCUGUUCUGACGGUACCCAAAGAAUAAGCACCGGCUAACUUCGUG
rnacentral:rRNA from 1 species